UACGUAGGGUGCAAGCGUUGUCCGGAAUUAUUGGGCGUAAAGAGCUCGUAGGUGGCCUGUCGCGUCGGCUGUGAAAAACUCGGGGGCUCAACUCCGAGCUUGCAGUCGAUACGGGCAGGCUAGAGUUCGGCAGGGGGAGACUGGAAUUCCUGGUGUAGCGGUGAAAUGCGCAGAUAUCAGGAGGAACACCGGUGGCGAAGGCGGGGUCUCUGGGGCCGAUACUGACGCUGAGGAGCGAAAAGCGUGGGGGAGCGAAACAGG
rnacentral:rRNA from 1 species